rnacentral:tRNA from 1 species
GCCCCCAUAGCUCAGUGGAUUAGAGCAUCCGGUUUCUACCCGGCUGGUCGCGGGUUCGAGUCCUGCUGGGGGCACCA